GUGGGGAAUCUUAGACAAUGGGCGCAAGCCUGAUCUAGCCAUGCCGCGUGUGUGACGAAGGCCUUAGGGUCGUAAAGCACUUUCGCUGGGGAAGAUAAUGACUGUACCCAGUAAAGAAGUCCCGGCUAACUCCGUGCCAGCAGCCGCGGUAAUACGGAGGGGACUAGCGUUGUUCGGAAUUACUGGGCGUAAAGCGUACGUAGGCGGAUCAGCAAGUAUGGGGUGAAAUCCCGGGGCUCAACCCCGGAACUGCCUCAUAAACUGUUGGUCUUGAGUUCGAGAGAGGUGAGUGGAAUUCCGAGUGUAGAGGUGAAAUUCGUAGAUAUUCGGAGGAACACCAGUGGCGAAGGCGGCUCACUGGCUCGAUACUGACGCUGAGGUACGAAAGUGUGGGGAGCAAACAGGAUUAGAUACCCUAGUAGUCC
rnacentral:rRNA from 1 species